rnacentral:rRNA from 1 species
CGUUGUUCGGAAUAACUGGGCUUAAAGGGCGCGUAGGCGGGCCGCCAAGUUCGAGGUGAAAUCCUCCGGCUCAACCGGAGAACUGCCUCGAAUACUGGAGGUCUCGAGGGUGGUAGGGGCAUGCGGAACUGUGGGUGGAGCGGUGAAAUGCGUUGAUAUCCACAGGAACUCCGGUGGCGAAGGCGGCAUGCUGGACCACAUCUGACGCUGAGGCGCGAAAGCCAGGGGAGCAAACGGG